UGCGCUCGGUUUUAUUUGCAGAUCGGGACCGUCAGACAGCGUGAAAAUGGCGCGCCCAAAUGAUCACAAUAUCAUUUGAACAGUGGAGCACAAAGAACAAUUAGCUCGUGGCGCCGGCCGAGGGAGCUAAUCCCAGAUUGCAACUUCAACUUUGUUUCUUCUUUCCGUAGCCAACCUUCAAAGACGGACGGUGCAACGAGCAAAUGUUUCGAGUCAAAUGAAUGAAUACGAACGUGCGAAAAGGCUAAAAAAAAAUUGCGGUACUUACUUCAAGUUUGGUGCGGCGGCCGCUUUAGAGCGCCUUGUUGUAUGCCGCUACGUAAAAGGAGCAUCGAUUUUUGUUGUUGUUGUUUUUAUAAGUCCAAUUUGAUAGCCGGCGUGUGGACCGGGGCGUUCAGCGCUCCUCGUUGUCGUGACACAGAAGAGCCGGCAGGCUGAAAAUUUUAUUUUGAAAAGUUUGAUUUGACAGCCAGUGUAUGGACAAUCUUGGGGUUGGUGUGGCCGCUUCAGAGCGCCUCGUUGUUGGCCGUGAGUACACACAAGUUACAGAGAAAAGGCAGAAGAGAAGGGGACAAAAGUCCAACACUAUUAACCAUCUUUGACCCACUUUGUCUUAACAUUAUUGCACUUAGUUUGGCUUCAUUCUGCUUCGUCCAACAUCGUCCUAGCUUCCAACUGCCAUAUCAGCUUUGUCCUGCAUUUAUCCUACCUUAAAAAAAAAGUGGCAUGUGAACAGAUGACUAAUUGCCACAUCGGCAGAUCAAACAGGGGCCCGCUUCCCGUUUCCUCUCGGCCGAGUGCACAUUCUCCGAAACAUAAUCCAUAUUCACCCAAAAAAAAAAAAGCAAAUUGCAAGGUCCCUCCGCAGCUGCCUUGAAGUGCGAGAGGCUCUUUGAAGGCAGUUAGCCGGCGUUACGAGAGCAACGCAAAGAUGGACGUGUCCAAACAGGGUCCAGGUGACCCAGGUGAGUGAUGGGACACAGGACACUUGAGCUCCCCGAUGCCAUGUCAGCACCAGCAGCUGGGAUGAGAAAAAUCUUUGCCUUGACUUUUUGGGCCGUCUCCUUUGUUCGUUUGUUUGUUUGGUUGGGUUUUUUUGGUCAUAUUUUCAUACCUAUUUCAAAUAGUAACUGACGACAAGGGCUUGCGUAAAAUUCUUAUCUGCCUGGUUGCUAUCUUGCUAUUCGUUAGCACAAUGAUCGGCUAGCUAAAUGAAUAAUAUCAACAUUUUGUCCAUCC